CGAGCAGGACAGGUGAUCGCGGCUGACUAAAAGUCAGGUGAGGAAAGUCCGGGCUUCACAGGGCAGGAUGCCGGAUAACGUCCGGCGGAGGCGACUCCCGGGAAAGUGCAACAGAAAUAUACCGCCGGUUUCCACCGGUAAGGGUGAAAUGGCGAGGUAAGAGCUCACCGCUGCGCUGGUAACAGAGCAGGCUCUGUAAACCCCAGCCGAAGCAAGACCAAGUUUGGACCAUACGGCUGCCCGCCGUGUCCAUGGUAGGUUGCUUGAGCCAUACGGUAACGUAUGGACUAGAUAGAUGAUCACCCACGACAUAACCCGGCUUAUCGUUCUGCUCGACUU
rnacentral:RNase_P_RNA from 1 species